UGGGGAAUCUUCCGCAAUGGACGAAAGUCUGACGGAGCAACGCCGCGUGAGUGAAGACGGCCUUCGGGUUGUAAAGCUCUGUUAUUCGGGAAGAACGAUUCGUUUGUGAACAAUGAACGGAAGUGACGGUACCGAAAGAGAAAGCCACGGCUAACUACGUGCCAGCAGCCGCGGUAAUACGUAGGUGGCAAGCGUUGUCCGGAAUUAUUGGGCGUAAAGCGCGCGUAGGCGGUAUGGUAAGUCUGUCUUAGAAGUGCGGGGCUUAACCCCGUGAGGGGACAGAGACUGUCAUACUGGAGUCUCGGAGAGGAAAGCGGAAUUCCUAGUGUAGCGGUGAAAUGCGUAGAGAUUAGGAAGAACACCGGUGGCGAAGGCGGCUUUCUGGACGAGCACUGACGCUGAGGCGCGAAGGCGUGGGGAGCGAACAGG
rnacentral:rRNA from 1 species